AAGACUUUAAGUUAAAUAAAACUAUUAACCUUCAAAGUUAAAAAUAUAAUAAACAAUAUAAGCCUUA
rnacentral:tRNA from 1 species